CGGCGGACGGGUGAGUAAUGCCUAGGGAUCUGCCUGGUAGUGGGGGACAACGUUUCGAAAGGAACGCUAAUACCGCAUACGUCCUACGGGAGAAAGCAGGGGACCUUCGGGCCUUGCGCUAUCAGAUGAGCCUAGGUCGGAUUAGCUAGUUGGUGAGGUAAUGGCUCACCAAGGCGACGAUCCGUAACUGGUCUGAGAGGAUGAUCAGUCACACUGGAACUGAGACACGGUCCAGACUCCUACGGGAGGCAGCAGUC
rnacentral:rRNA from 1 species